GAUGAACGCCGGCGGCGUGCCUAAUACAUGCAAGUCGAGCGAACGGAUAAGGAGCUUGCUCCUUUGAAGUUAGCGGCGGACGGGUGAGUAACACGUGGGUAACCUACCUAUAAGACUGGAAUAACUUCGGGAAACCGGAGCUAAUGCCGGAUAACACUUGGAACCGCAUGGUUCUAAAGUAAAAGAUGGUUUUGCUAUCACUUAUAGAUGGACCCGCGCCGUAUUAGCUAGUUGGUAAGGUAACGGCUUACCAAGGCAACGAUACGUAGCCGACCUGAGAGGGUGAUCGGCCACACUGGAACUGAGACACGGUCCAG
rnacentral:rRNA from 1 species